rnacentral:rRNA from 1 species
UACGAAGGGGGCUAGCGUUGCUCGGAAUCACUGGGCGUAAAGGGUGCGUAGGCGGGUCUUUAAGUCAGGGGUGAAAUCCUGGAGCUCAACUCCCAGAACUGCCUUUGAUACUGAACGAUCUUGAAGUUCGGGAGAGGUGAGUGGAACUGCGAGUGUAGAGGUGAAAUUCGUAGAUAUUCGCAAAGAACACCAGUGGCGAAGGCGGCUCGACGUGGCCCGAGUACCUGAAC